rnacentral:rRNA from 1 species
GAUGAACGCUAGCGGCAGGCCUAAUACAUGCAAGUCGAACGGUGUCUUCGGACAUAGUGGCGCACGGGUGCGUAACACGUAUGCAACCUACCUUACAUUGGGGGAUAGCCUUUCGAAAGGGAGAUUAAUACCGCAUAAGACAGUAGCUGGGCAUCCAGCAGCUGUUAAAGAUUUAUCGAUGUAAGCUGGGCAUGCGUCCAAUUAGUUAGUUGGUGAGGUAACGGCUCACCAAGGCAAUGAUUGGUAGGGGAACUGAGAGGUCAAUCCCCCACACUGGCACUGAGAUACGGGCCAGACUCCUACGGGAGGCAGCAGUAGGGAAUAUUGGGCAAUGGACGCAAGCCUGACCCAGCCAUGCCGCGUGCAGGAUGAAGGCGUUAUGCGUUGUAAACUGCUUUUAUACAGGAAGAAACGACUCUUGCGAGAGGCAUUGACGGUACUGUAUGAAUAAGCACCGGCUAACUCCGUGCCAGCCGCCGCCGUAAGAC